rnacentral:rRNA from 1 species
UACGUAGGGGGCUAGCGUUGUCCGGAAUCAUUGGGCGUAAAGCGCGUGUAGGCGGCCCGGUAAGUCCGCUGUGAAAGUCGGGGGCUCAACCCUCGGAUGCCGGUGGAUACUGUCGGGCUAGAGUGCGGAAGAGGCGAGUGGAAUUCCUGGUGUAGCGGUGAAAUGCGCAGAUAUCUGGAGGAACACCGGUGGCGAAGGCGGCAUCCUGGACCGACACUGACGCUGAUGAGCGAAAGCCAGGGGAGCAAACGGG